rnacentral:tRNA from 1 species
UCCCUAGUGGCUCAGAUGGUAAAGCGUCUGCCUGCAACACAGGAGACCUGGGUUCAAUCCUUGGGUUGGGAA